CGACCUCGUCGACCGGUUUGGUCACGAGCUUGGUCGGCUCGGCGAGAUCCUCUUGCGCGGUCUUCGCACCGGCGUCGACUCCGGUUGACGCUGAC
rnacentral:tRNA from 1 species